GUUAAACUGAAGAAAAUGAAGUACUCUUUUCAGUUGUGGACCACAAUGAUGUCCCUCUAACACGGCCUUUCAACUUUGCUUACACAGGUGUCUUCAGUGCCCUGGGUUUGCCUGUGACCCAAUGCCCACUGGGACUGAAUGCCAAAGGACUCCCUCUAGGCAUCCAGGUUGUGGCUGGACCCUUUAAUGAUCAUCUGACCCUGGCUGUGGCCCAGUACUUGGAGAAAACUUUUGGGGGCUGGGUCUGUCCAGGAAAGUUUUAGGAGGACCUUCUGCAAGGUUAAUGUGUGUGUGUGUGUGUUUGUGUGGUGGUGUUUCUAUUAAUUGGGUGAAAUCAAGCACCAGCAGACAAGCAGAGAAACAACUGGGAAAUGUAUUGACUCAUUUAGUUAUUCUUUCUUCUUUUAUUUCCUUCUCUAACUGUUGGUCUUACUAAAAUGGUAAUAUUUGCUUCUUGCUUUUUUGUUACUGGAAAAUUAGGACAUGUAAACGGAUAAGUGCAAUAAAGUUUCCUAGAUGCUG
rnacentral:sRNA from 1 species